rnacentral:rRNA from 1 species
CACGUAGGGGGCGAGCGUUGUCCGGAAUCAUUGGGCGUAAAGAGCUCGUAGGCGGCUCGGUAAGUCGGGUGUGAAACCCCCAGGCUCAACCUGGGGACGCCACCCGAUACUGCUGUGGCUAGAGUCCAGUAGGGGAGUGUGGAAUUCCCGGUGUAGCGGUGAAAUGCGCAGAUAUCGGGAGGAACACCAGCGGCGAAGGCGGGUUGCUGGGCUGAUACUGACGCUGAGGCGCGAAAGCCAGGGGAGCGAACGGG